CCUACGGGUGGCAGCAGUGGGGAAUCUUGCGCAAUGGGGGAAACCCUGACGCAGCAACGCCGCGUGCGGGACGAAGGCCCUCGGGUCGUAAACCGCUUUCAGCAGGGAAGACCACGACGGUACCUGCAGAAGAAGCCCCGGCUAACGAAGUGCCAGCAGCCGCGGUAAUACGUGGGGGGCGAGGGUUAUCCGGAUUCAUUGGGCGUAAGGCGCGCGUAGGCGGCCGCCUAAGCGGAACCUCUAACCCCGGGGCUCAACCUCGGGCCGGGUUCCGGACUGGGCGGCUCGAGUGCGGUAGAGGAGAGCGGAAUUCCCGGUGUAGCGGUGGAAUGCGCAGAUAUCGGGAAGAACACCGAUGGCGAAGGCAGCUCUCUGGGCCGUCACUGACGCUGAGGCGCGAAAGCUGGGGGAGCGAACAGGAUUAGAUACCCGGGUAGUC
rnacentral:rRNA from 1 species